rnacentral:rRNA from 2 species
CGACUAAGCGUACACGGUGGAUGCCCUGGCAGUCAGAGGCGAUGAAGGGCGUGCUAAUCUGCGAUAAGCGCCGGUAAGGUGAUAUGAACCGUUAUAACCGGCGAUACCCGAAUGGGGAAACCCAGUGUGACUCGUCACACUAUCAUUAACUGAAUCCAUAGGUUAAUGAGGCGAACCGGGGGAACUGAAACAUCUAAGUACCCCGAGGAAAAGAAAUCAACCGAGAUUCCCCCAGUAGCGGCGAGCGAACGGGGAGGAGCCCAGAGCCUGAAUCAGCAUGUGUGUUAGUGGAAGCGUCUGGAAAGGCGCGCGAUACAGGGUGACAGCCCCGUACACAAAAGCGCAUGUGCUGUGAGCUCGAUGAGUAGGGCGGGACACGUGGUAUCCUGUCUGAAUAUGGGGGGACCAUCCUCCAAGGCUAAAUACUCCUGACUGACCGAUAGUGAACCAGUACCGUGAGGGAAAGGCGAAAAGAACCCCGGCGAGGGGAGUGAAAAAGAACCUGAAACCGU